rnacentral:rRNA from 1 species
CCUACGGGAGGCAGCAGUGAGGAAUAUUGGUCAAUGGCCGGGAGGCUGAACCAGCCAAGUCGCGUGAGGGAAGACGGCCCUACGGGUUGUAAACCUCUUUUGUCAGGGAGCAAGGUGCAGGUCGGGACCUGCUGUGAGAGUACCUGAAGAAAAAGCAUCGGCUAACUCCGUGCCAGCAGCCGCGGUAAUACGGAGGAUGCGAGCGUUAUCCGGAUUUAUUGGGUUUAAAGGGAGCGUAGGCCGGUCUUUAAGCGUGCCGUGAAAUUUUGUGGCUCAACCGUAAAAUUGCAAUUGAUACUGGCAGCCUUGAGUACAGUUGAGGUAGGCGGAAUUCGUGGUGUAGCGGUGAAAUGCUUAGAUAUCACGAAGAACUCCGAUUGCGAAGGCAGCUUACUAAACUGCCACUGACAUUGAUGCUCGAAAGUGUGGGUAUCAAACAGGAUUAGAUACCCCGGUAGUC